rfam:Lepisosteus oculatus linkage group LG11, whole genome shotgun sequence.
CCCCAACUAGCUCUGUUGGUAGUGCAUGAGACUCAUAAUCCCAGGGUAGUGGGUUCGUAUCCCACGUCGGGCG